rnacentral:rRNA from 1 species
GGAAGGUGGGGAGUGACGUCAAGUCAGCAUGGCCUUUAUAUCCUGGGCUACACACACGCUACAAUGGCCAACACAAUAGGUUGCUAAGCCGCGAGGUGGAGCCAAUCCAUAAAGUUGGUCUCAGUUCAGAUUGUAGGCUGCAACCCGCCUGCAUGAAGAUGGAGUUGCUAGUAACCGCAGGUCAGCUAUACUGCGGUGAAUACGUUCCCGGGGCUU